AGUGAACGCUGGCGGCGUGCUUAACACAUGCAAGUCGAACGAGAACGGGUUAUAGCUUGCUAUAAUUGUCAGCUAAGUGGCGCACGGGUGAGUAAUGUAUAGGUAAUAUGCCUCUUACUAAGGGAUAACAAUUGGAAACGAUUGCUAAUACCUUAUACUCCUUGUUAACAGAAGUUAAUAAGGGAAAGAUUUAUUGGUAAGAGAUUAGCCUGUAUUGUAUCAGUUAGUUGGGGGGGUAAUGGCUUACCAAGACAAUGACACAUAACUGGUUUGAGAGGAUGAUCAGUCACACUGGAACUGAGACACGGUCCAGACUCCUACGGGAGGCAGCAGUGGGGAAUAUUGCACAAUGGACGAAAGUCUGAUGCAGCAACGCCGCGUGGAGGAUGACACAUUUCGGUGCGUAAACUCCUUUUAUAUGAGAAGAUAAUGACGGUAUUAUAUGAAUAAGCACCGGCUAACUCCGUGCCAGCAGCCGCCGUAAAAC
rnacentral:rRNA from 1 species